AUUGAACGCUGGCGGCAGGCCUAACACAUGCAAGUCGAGCGGUAACACAGAGGAGCUUGCUCCUUGGGUGACGAGCGGCGGACGGGUGAGUAAUGCCUGGGGAUCUGCCCGAUAGAGGGGGAUAACUACGGGAAACUGUAGCUAAUACCGCAUAAUGUCUACGGACCAAAGUGGGGGCUCUUCGGACCUCAUGCUAUCGGAUGAACCCAGGUGGGAUUAGCUAGUUGGUGAGGUAAUGGCUCACCAAGGCGACGAUCUCUAACUGGUUUGAGAGAAUGACCAGUCACACUGGAACUGAGACACGGUCCAGACUCCUACGGGAGGCAGCAGUGGGGAAUAUUGCACAAUGGGCGCAAGCCUGAUGCAGCCAUGCCGCGUGUGUGAAGAAGGCCUUCGGGUUGUAAAGCACUUUCAGCGGGGAGGAAGGGUCACUAGUUAAUACCUAGUGGCAUUGACGUUACUCGCAGAAGAAGCACCGGCUAACUCCGUGCCAGCAGCCGCGGUAAUACGGAGGGUGCAAGCGUUAAUCGGAAUUACUGGGCGUAAAGCGCACGCNGGCGGUUUGUUAAGUCAGAUGUGAAAUCCCCGAGCUCAACUUGGGAACUGCAUUUGAAACUGGCAAGCUAGAGUCUUGUAGAGGGGGGUAGAAUUCCAGGUGUAGCGGUGAAAUGCGUAGAGAUCUGGAGGAAUACCGGUGGCGAAGGNGGCCCCC
rnacentral:rRNA from 1 species